CGGAUGUAGCCAAGUGGAUCAAGGCAGUGGAUUUGUGAAUCCCACCAUGCGCGGA
rnacentral:tRNA from 1 species